AGAAGUCCCGAGGUGCCGAAGUCCCGAAAUGUCAAAGUUCUGAAAUUCCGAGGUGUCGAAGUGCUGAAGUGCCGAAGUGUCGAAGUUGCCGAAUUUCCGAAGUGUCAAAGUGCCGAAGUUUCUGAAGUUCCGAAGUCUUGAAGUGCCGAAUUGCCGAAGUCCCGAAUUGCGAAAAUCCCGAAUUUCGGAAUGCCGAACUGAACCGAAAAUUUUCCCCAUGCACAUGCCUACUGAUCACUGAGUUGCUCUAUUAUCUUGUAGCAGCCACAUUAUUCUACUUACAAUACUG